ACGGGAGGCAGCAGUAGGGAAUAUUGGGCAAUGGACGCAAGUCUGACCCAGCCAUGCCGCGUGCAGGAAGAAGGCCUUCUGGGUUGUAAACUGCUUUUAUCUGGGAAGAAAAAGCCCCUGCGGGGGAAACUGACGGUACCAGAGGAAUAAGCACCGGCUAACUCCGUGCCAGCAGCCGCGGUAAUACGGAGGGUGCAAGCGUUGUCCGGAUUUAUUGGGUUUAAAGGGUGCGUAGGCGGCCCGUUAAGUCAGUGGUGAAAGCCUCCAGCUCAACUGGAGAACUGCCAUUGAUACUGACGGGCUUGAGUACAGACGAGGUUGGCGGAAUUGAUGGUGUAGCGGUGAAAUGCAUAGAUACCAUCAAGAACUCCGAUUGCGUAGGCAGCUAACUAGGCUGUAACUGACGCUGAGGCACGAAAGCGUGGGGAGCGAACAGGAUUAGAUACCCUGGUA
rnacentral:rRNA from 1 species